rnacentral:rRNA from 1 species
CCUACGGGGGGCAGCAGUGGGGAAUAUUGGACAAUGGGGGCAACCCUGAUCCAGCCAUGCCGCGUGUGUGAAGAAGGCCCUCGGGUUGUAAAGCACUUUCAGUGACGAAGAACGCCUGGUGGUUAAUACCCAUCAGGAAAGACAUCACUCACAGAAGAAGCACCGGCUAACUCCGUGCCAGCAGCCGCGGUAAUACGGAGGGUGCGAGCGUUAAUCGGAAUUACUGGGCGUAAAGCGCGCGUAGGUGGCUUGAUAAGCCGGUUGUGAAAGCCCCGGGCUCAACCUGGGAACGGCAUCCGGAACUGUCAAGCUAGAGUGCAGGAGAGGAAGGUAGAAUUCCCGGUGUAGCGGUGAAAUGCGUAGAGAUCGGGAGGAAUACCAGUGGCGAAGGCGGCCUUCUGGACUGACACUGACACUGAGGUGCGAAAGCGUGGGUAGCAAACAGGAUUAGAUACCCCAGUAGUC